CCUAAUUUCUUUACCCACAUCCAGUCCCCACCUCUUCCCUCAGCGCCGCACUCACCAAGUCAACAUCGAUCCCCAUCGCCCCGCAUCAUCGCCGCCCGGUGCCGUCGCCUUGGAUCCCCCACCCGCACCAUCGCCGCCCGGUGCCGUCGCCCCCAUCCCCUUCGUCCAGUACCGCGCCGCCCCCUCUCUCUCUCGUCGCUCCUCCUCUCCCCCGAUCUGGAUCUGGAGGGAGAGCGCCUGGUCGCCGCCCUACCUUCUCUACCCGUCGCUCCCCAUCUCUCCUCCCUCCCACUGUGCCUGCCUCCAUGAGCUCCGGCCUCUCCCCAGCCGGCGACGCCCCUUUCCUUCCACAGCCAACGACGACCAAUCGUCUCCGACGAGCCGCUGUGGCGUGCCCUCCUCCUCCUACUUGAGUCAGAUCCGGCCACCCCAGCCUCGGAUCCGGCCACCCCAGCCUCGCAACCGGCAUCCACCGCCCACCUGCAUGCCUCAUCGUCGUAGGACACCGCCAGGAUUGUUGAGCUGCUGCUCCUUGUGCUGCUGUUGAUGUGUUGUGUUGAUUGGUUGCCUGCCGUUGGCGAGCAUGGCAUCUGGGAGCCAAAUAUCAUUGGAGUAUGGAGAUUUGAGAAAACCUUGAUGGGUCCAAAGCUGUCCAGAUGCAUUGUGAGUGAUGGUUGAGAUGUGGUGCAAAAUGGAAUGGAAUAAACUUCUUGUGCUUGUAGGGAGCGGAAGCGGAUGUGAUCGGGGAUCACCGUGAAGAGAGUGCUUCCUUGGCUCGCUACCAAAGGAAAAUGGUGAGUUUGUUACUUGAGUAAAACUAUCAUCUUUGUUCUUAAUUUUUAUUGUCUCUUUAAUGAGUAGAUACUAUGUAGUAUCUUGGCACAUCGUUAGGAUUAAGACAUACAUCUAUUGCCUCUCUAAUCAAUACAUACUAUAGUACUUGCUCUCUCUAAAAAAUGGUCGAACAAUGCCAAACUGAAAGUAACAACGAUGCUGGCACUCGUUCAUUUAUAGUUCCAUAUAGAAGAUGCAAAAGGCUGGAACUUCAUGCCUUGACGUGUAACAUACUGCAACUUAAUGCUGCUUGUCAGUAUGGAACACCACGGGUAGUUAGCGCUUGUGUUUUGCUCAUGCUCCUGGCAAAUCCUUUUGGUUCAGAAAGCUUAUGUGUUCUGGUAUGCUCCUUGGUAUAUUUCAGAGUGACUAGUUUCUACUCAUUCCUGUUUCUGUCUUUAAGAAUAGUUUGGAAACUUAAAUGAGGAUGUGUUGCUUUCUCCAACACCUGUAAGCUAUGUUCUUAAAUAUUGUUUCUUAAAUUACUGCAGAGUUAAGGUUCUUUUUUCCCGGUGUAUUGCUUUGAAGAAUAAGGCCUUAAAGGGUGUGUCUUUAAAACUCUACUAGUAUUGUUGUUCAUGUACUAGUCUUGUUGCCGUCACUGGGCAUUUUCAAUAUAUAUAUUUUGAUAUUUGGAGAAUAAGUAGUUUAUAUGAAUCAUAUGCUGGACGAAAAUAUUUCCAUAUAUAAAUAUGCCAUGACUAAUUGGUAAUUUUAUUACAUGUUGGAUGCUUUUUUGACCUUCUGGGAGAUAUGAUAUAUGAGCAAGUGUUUCAAACUUUUGACCUUUUCUGUUAAGUUUAUAUGUAAACUACUACCCUUUGAAGAUAUGAGAAUGAAUGCCAUGUGAUACAAGUUAAGCUUGCUUACUGUACUGUGAACUGAACCUGCCUUUUGUCUCUUGGGAUGUUGAAAUUUCACUAGUAUAUAUAUCACAAGUCAAACUGAACUUGAGAGUUCCAUCCAUACGACAAAAUCUUCAGCGAGAGCUUAGCUAAUCGCUUCAACUCUGUUGUUCUUAAAUUUCUAUUAUCAUAUAGGUUGAGCAUUUGUAUCAUAGCAUUUGCGUGAACUAUGGGUUGGACCGUCAACAAUGCAAAGAUUCUUUAUUUGGAAAAUCAGUGCAUAGACAAUAGAUGAAUCAUUUGAGUAGUUCUGUGGCAUGGUUUGAGAUCUUCUGUAGUCCAGAGUGAUCUUGCAUUUCUUUGCCUGCAUAGAAUCCACUUCCUCGCCACAUUUUCCAUUUUCUCAAAUGCACAGAAGGUAAUCUGUGUCACUUUUCUCCAUCUUGAUUGCUUAAUGCUCAUUUCUUUACAUUAGUGCAUCUAAGUGGACAAUCUUUUAGUAAUGGGUGUGUGUGUUCUCAUUCCAGUAAAUAAAUAUUAAGAAAUUACAUUUGAGUUGACUAGGCCUUAAUAUCUGAUUCACUCAAACAAUUAAAUGGAUGUUAAAUGUAAAAGCCACAUUGUAAAGUGCUAAGAGCAUUGUUUGUUUAUAAUCUGGUAUUUGUUCCGUAAUCUACUAUCUGGUUGAAGCUAUGGAGUCUAGUGAGCAGGUUGUGCUUUUAUUAAAUACUUCUGAUAUGUGGUAAUUGGUUUGCUUCUUUUUUCAGGUCUGCUUUUGCACCCCACAAGUUUAUAGAUAUAUGUUUUGUGAGCUAAAAGGACCUAUUGGUAGAAUCUAACUCGGUUUUUGGAUUUUUGGAUUUUAAUAUCUAUCUGAUGAAGUAGCAAUCUAGGAUGGAACCAGUUUCUAACUGAAACUAAAUGUUAUAUUUGGUGAUGUUAUACUGGAGACAUGAACCUACAAAUGUAUGUAUGUAUACAUGAUGGAUUGUUGUCCUUUUGGCUGUGAUGUAGUACUGGACUUGCGAACCUGUAUGUAUGCUGUGAUGCAGUACUAGACUCGUGAACCUACAAAUGUAUACAUAUGUAUGUAUGCAUGCAGACAUGAUGUAUUGUUGAGAUAUAUAUUAUGAUGCAACUUGAAUUACU